AAACGAGCAGAGCUGCAGCUCUCCAGCUGGUUAGAUGCAAGAGGACAUAGAUAUGUUUCCAGCAUCACCAACAAUAACACUGUGCUGUGAUCCCUGCAUGUUGCAGAAGGUGGAGAAGGGGUGCUGAUGGCUGAAACGCUGUAUCUUGCACACAAGAUUUAGUUCUCACUGAUUCAAGGCCAUUGGUUUCUUCUCCAGCCCCCAAAACAGGCACACAGGUCAAACUGGGAGAGGCCAGACAAAAGACCCACUGCUCCUACACAUGCCAGACUGCAUCCUCAGAGAGAAGCAAGCGUGCUGUCAGCCUGGUUGGGAGUGGUGCUCAGAUACAAGCCUUCACCACAGAUGGCUGAAACUCGAAUUUUCAGUUCAUUGGGUGUGUUAUUUCUCCCCUGUUUGAACCAGAAAUAUGUUUGUUUUAAUAUUGUCUUUGGAAUUUCACUUUUGGAAAUCUGCCUUGUAGCUUUUCAGAACUAGUUCACUUGAUGAUUUGUUUAAUUUGGGAGCUAAUUAUUACAAUUUUAUGAUAUUUUUUCAUGUCAGUUAUCAGAACUACUCGGAUGUAAUUGGUAAGUACUACAAACACUACAAAAACUGAAAAGAACCACCUAAAACAUUUUGACAUUGAAUUCUCAAAUUUCAUUUAAAACCUCCAAAAUCUGACCUCAAAAAUGCUAACAUGUUCUGAGACUGAAAUAUCUAACUCGGUGUUAUUUCAUUUCAAUGUCUUUUUUAAAAGGACUACGGAGAUCAAUGCAAGAAAACCAACAACAAACAAACAAGCAAACACAUUGAACAGGGUAGAGUCUUGAGUUUUAUCUAGAAAUUCACUCAGAAUUUCUAUUGCCACAAACUGUACCUGCAGCAGAGUUACUUAUGUGAGUUAUGUGUCUUCAUCAAGUCUGGACAGGAAGCUUUUGCAUGGAUUUUGAAGAUACAUUCAAAUGAACAUCCUGUUGAGAAUUUGCUUACUAUAUGGUUACAGUGAAUUUAUCUUACCAUGUCUUUAUUUCUUCAGACAUAUUUGGGCUUCAGCUUUUCUCACUGGGGUAAGUGCUCAGAAACUCUCAAAGUCACUGCUUGCUUAAAUAUUACACCCACCUGAGUUAAAACAGGAGGGUCUUACUGGUCACAGAAUCAUAGACUCAUGGAAUCAUUAAGUGCAGCGUUUGAGGCAUGGACUCAGAUGUGAACGAUCCAAAUCAUUUAUUACAAGUUCUCACAUCCCUUAUAUGCCUUCACAAGUUUUUGUUUUCUAACUUUCUCAUCCGCCCUUAAAACUUUCCCAACCACCUUUACAUGUCAACAAAGCAUUCUACAAACACUUUUCAACUGUCCAUGCAGGCACAUAUCCAAUCAGAGCUGUGAGUCCCUUCUUCUCCUUCCAGAGGUGCCCUUGGUUCCCAUGAUGUUUAUCGUGCUCCACAGCUGCUGCUCUGAACAGCUUUUCUUGUAUUCCCACAUUUAAGGCUGGAAAAGACCACAAAGAUCGUUUAGUCCAACCACCAGCCCAUUACCCAUGCCAUUAAACCACGUCCCUCAGUGCCACAUCUACUCUUUUCCUGAAAACCUCCAGGAAUGGCAACUCCACCAGCUCUCUGGGCAGCCUGUUCCAAUAUCUCACUGCUCUUGUGAAAAGAAAUUUUUCCCAACUUCUAAACUAAACCACUCCUAGCACAACUUGAGGCCAUUACAUCUCAUUCUACCACUAGUUAACCGGUGAAACUGGCUGACCUCCACAUCGCUACAACUUUCUCUCAAGUAGUCAAUGUUAAAUAUGAUAUGAAAUAUUAAUGUGUAGGUAACGGUGAUGGAGUGAACCAAAAGAGGGCUCCUGCCACAUUACCAUAUAUUUUUCAUCACUCCUUCUAAGAGGUCCAUGGAAAGAGCUGAAGGAGGGGACAGAAGAAAACGAGGUUAGGAGAUAGGGCUGCAAGAGUCUGUGUUUAACUUUGAACAUGGUGGAUCUCGAGGUCACUUUCUUUCCUUGUGGUGGUGUGCUCUGUGCCACACAGACCUGUGAUUACAGGCCUGUAGGAGCACAGCUGGUUGCUGCUUUGGGAAGGAGAUCCCUGAGGCUGGGCUGGGUGCAGAGCCAAUAAACAGAUGUGCACUGCACCA
rnacentral:lncRNA from 1 species